AAAUUCAGCACACCUCUGGCAGACGCAGAGUUUAUAAAGCAGAAGAGGUGCAUCCGUUUGAAAUUCUUGCACAGAGUCAAAUCAGCAGAACGCACCGGUUAGAGUGGUAAGACCUCGAUUCAUCACCUUUUUGAAGCUUUGUAUAUUAUAAAUUAAUAUUUUUAUGAUUAUGUCAGUAAUUUACUAUGUUAAGUGACGUCACAACAGCGAAUAUGGAUAACGAUGUAUCUAUUAUUAUGCUUUUACGAAAUGUCGCAGUCAGUAUAACCCUUAAUCGUUAUUUAUGAAGAUUUACUAUAAUAGUAUUAAUAUUAAAAAAUCAUCGUACUUUUAUACUGACCGGUGAUAAUACUUGGUAUUAUUCCUUUACUUGUGGAGGCCUCGUGCCCACGUGGUGAGGAUGCUACAAGCUAGUAGCUAAACACUGCAGUCCAAUCUAGCAGCGCCAUCACGCUUUAGAAGUUUAUUUUUCCUUAAUUGAGCUUUAAUCGGACUUCUCCGCUGAUGUUUUAGCACUGGGCUCUGAGUCUCCAUGAAGAGGCUGUGCAUCUUCGGCCUGACAAGCCGAGGUUUCUGAGGAGAACGCUCACACAGCACGUGGGUCCCUGGCAUCGGGUCAUGAUGCUACACUAAACAUGUGUUUCUUUUUCUGUUUGCAGAGUUCUGGUCAAACCAAAUCUGGACCCUAACACUAACAGGUUUCUAUCUGCGACCACUAACAAAUCAGCCCGAUCAAUAAACUUGCCUGCAACUCUACCA